rnacentral:misc_RNA from 1 species
GGAAGGAUCAUUAAAAACAAUCCAUUGUUAACCCAUCUGUGAACUUGUUUGAAAGUAGUGCUCGAGUGGACAGAGAGAGAUGUGGCGAAAAGAGUGAGGCGUAAAAAACCUCGUUCUUCGUCUUUCUGUUCGACUUUCCAUACGCAAGUGUGGAGGGAAACUUUAGCAUUGCUUCGCCAUGUUUUAUUAUUUAACCCCAUUUAACUUUUUUGUACUAACAUUCUUUUUCAAGCCUUUCGGGGCGAGAAAAUUAAAAUAAAUAACACUGAACAACUCUUAACAACGGAUAUCUAGGCUCUCAUCUCGAUGAAGAACGCAGCGAAAUGCGAUACGUAAUGCGAAUUGCAGAAUUCAGUGAAUCAUCAAAUUUUUGAACGCAUCUUGCGCUUUCGGGUGACCGAGAGCAUGCCUCUUUGAGUAUCGUUUCAAACCCACUCGGCUGCGACCUUUUUCGAAAGGUUGCUGAGUCCGGAUAAUGAGAGUCUCGACUUCUGUAAAAGGAGGUUGCGUCUCUUUAAGUACGAUUAACACGAUAGCUGUUAUUCGACCAGGGAGCAUUUAUCUGGUUGAUGCUUGAUACUUGACCUUUUGGUCAUUCUUCUGCAUCUGACUUGGAAUGUCUCAUAUACUGUUUAGAAUAAUUCAUCUCUUCGGAGACAGUUACAGUGUCAAAAGGAAAAACUUUCUUGAUAAUUCGAUCUCAAAUGAAGCAAGACUACCCGCCGAAUUUAAGCAUAUAAUUAAGCGGAGGAAAAGAAACUAACAAGGAUUCCCCUAGUAACGGCGAGUGAACCGGGAAAAGCUCAAAGUUUAAAUCGACGUUCCUAACGGGGCGCCGAGAUGUAAGCUCGAGACGGAAGCCCAGCGACGACCCGGGUAUAAGACCCUUGGAACAGGUCAUCAGAGAGGGUGAGAAUCCCGUCUUUGACUCGGAGAUCAUCGCGUACGGGAACCGGUCAGAGAGUCGUGUACCUUGGGAAUGGUGCACUAAAUGGGUGGUAAAUUCCAUCUAAAGCUAAAUAUCGAUGAGAGACCGAUAGCGAACAAGUACCGUGAGGGAAAGGUGAAAAGAACUUUGAAAAGAGAGUUAAAAAGUACUUGAAAUUGUUAGGAGGUAAGCACUGAGAACCAGUAGUGCCCGGUACAUAUUUUCCUUUCGUAAGUGAUUACUUGGUUGGCGGUACCUCUAAAGGCCGCUGGUUCGGUAAGAAGCGUACGGUGGGCUCCUGUGUACUGUGGUGAGUCAAGGUCGAGUAGACUUGCGUGAGAAGGCCCUCGUAAGGUGCUACCAGCGACGGUAGUCAAGGACAGGGGUUAUAGCGCAGGUCUGCUCGAGGUACGAUCAACUCCCGCCGCAAGGCAGCGUAACUGUCUCUGCAAGUGUUCUUGAGACACAAGGGGAAAACUCCUUGUGCUUGGGGCAUGAGUACUAGAUGGGUAUCGACUUGGGAGUUCGCGAUCUUGACGAAAUGGUUUUCAUUGACCCGUCUUGAAACACGGACCAAGGAGUCUAGCAUAUAUGCGAGUAUUUGGGUGGAAAACCCUGGUGCGUAAUGAAAGUGAAAGGUAGGAACCGCGUAAAAAACGGCGCACUAUCGACCGAUCUUUUGCUUGCAGAAGAUUUGAGUAGGAGCAUAUCUGCUGGGACCCGAAAGAUGGUGAACUAUGCCUGAUCAGGGUGAAGCCAGGGGAAACUCUGGUGGAGGCUCGUAGCGAUACUGACGUGCAAAUCGUUCGUCUGAAUUGGGUAUAGGGGCGAAAGACUAAUCGAACCAUCUAGUUGCUGGUUCACGC